rnacentral:lncRNA from 1 species
AACUCAAGUCCCACGCUGGCUUAGCUUGAAAUGACAGCGUCCAAGGCUUGCACUGCCAUCAGCCGGGAUUUCCCAGCCAGGAGAACAAAGUUUAAAAAGAGUUAAGAGACUCGGUGAAGUUUCCAUGGCCAAGCCAGUGAUGUGUGACCAACGUGAACCCUAAUCUGCCUGAAUCUUGGCCUUCGGUGUUUACACAUGUGUCUUGCCAGCUGGGAGAGGCAGGAAGCCCACAGAAGGUUCUCAGGGAAUCAAGACCAAAAUUCCCCUGCCCUUUAUCUUGCUGAUCACCGGAGCAGCAACCCAGGGCAGAGAUUUUGUCUGGCUUCUUAGCUGCUUGCUCCUGGCAGGUCGGUCCUUCCCUGCAGAGUGGCUGUGGAAGCAGGGUGCCCGGGAGGCAAGCCCCUCUGAGCUCCGCAUUGCUGUGAAGCUGUGUGACCCAGGGUGAGUUACUUUACCCAUCUGUGCGGCAGAUGCCCUCUUUCUAGGACAGGUUCUCAACACUCCUAACGCUGUGACCCCUUAAUACUGUUCCUCAUGUUGUGGUGACCCC